GCGGAGCGGGGAGCCGCGCGGCCCGGCGUGACCGACGCCUGUGGCGGAGCCGGAGCUGGGGGCGCGGGGCGCAGGCUGGGAGAGAGGGCGGGGCCCGGCCAGGUGCGCGCGGACCGCGGCGAGGGUCGCAGGCGGCAGAUGGAAGAGAGAGCUCAGCUGUAACCGAGGCGCAGCUUCCCAGUCAAUCCCCGUCGCCGUGUUUGCGUUUGAUCGCCUGCCUAUAUACAUAUAUACAUGCACAGUAGGGAAAUGGUGUGUGACAGAGCUGCGCAGGAAGGAAUGAAGAAAGAUUGAAAGCCAUGUGGGUGGGAAGAGUGGAAGAGGAUGAACCUUUCGUACCUGGGCAUGGUUCCACAUCUCCCUCACCCUACUCCACAAUGCAAAACCUGACAUACUAGAUCUCCUUAAGCAAGGUGCCUCUUGAGGUUGUAACCGCAGAUGUUCUGCAGGGAUCCAAUUACUUGAGCCAUCACCUGCAAGAGCAGGAAAACUGGAAUCGGAAGUGGAUAUAGCAUGCAAGCAACUCGACUUACAUCACAACCACUACACCGGAUGCCCAUCUGGAAACUGCAACUUUAGACAGUGUUGUCAGGGUCGGCUUCACUGAGAAGGCAGAAUGGACAGUGAGAGAGACAGAAUGAAAGGUCUUCCUUUUCCGUUGGUUCACCCCACAGUGGCCAUUGCGGCUGGAGCGCUGCGGCCGGCGCACCGCGCUGAUCCAAAGCCAGGAGCCAGGCGCUUCUCCUGGUCUCCAUGAAGGUGCAGGGCCCAAGCACCUGGGCCAUCCUCCACUGCCUUCCCUGGCCACAGCAGAGAGCUGGACUGGAAGAGAGGCAACCAGGACAGAAUCCGGUGCCCCGACCAGGACUAGAACCCGGGGUACUGGCGCCACAAGCGGAGGAUUAGCCUAUUGAGCUGCAGCACCGACCUGUUUUUGUUUUUUUUUUUUUUAAUUAAGCAAGCUCCUACCAUAUCUAACAAAAUUAACAAUUCUUUACUGUUGUGGAAUACUCACUUCCUAUUCAGUUUCCCUUGAUCAUCUCAAGAAUAUGUUUUAUUUUACCAUUUUGCAUUUUAUUUUACCAUUUGCAUUUUGUUAAUAUACUUAUAUCUCUUGUGUCUUUUAAUCUAUAGUGAUUUUUCCUUUUUCGAAAAAAUGGCAUUUAUUUGUUACAAAUUUGGGUAUUUUUACCUGUUGAAUAUAUCAAGCCCUUUAAAACUUAAUUCAGUAAUUGGGUGAAUUAAGAGUUGGUAGAGAAUGCACAGUAUUUGGAAUAAAAAAUCCAGGGGGCCGGUGUUGUGGCAUAAUGGGUCAAGCCACUGCUUAUAACACCUGCAUCCUAUUUGAGCUCCAGUAACAGUCCCAGCUGCU